GACGAACGCUGGCGGCGUGCUUAACGCAUGCAAGUCGAGCGGUAAGGCCCCUUCGGGGGUACACGAGCGGCGAACGGGUGAGUAACACGUGGGUGACUUGCCCUCAGCUCUGGGAAUAAGCCUGGGAAACUGGGUCUAAUACCGGAUAUGACUCCAUGACGCAUGUCGUGGGGUGAAAGCCUUGUGCGGCUGGGGAUGGGCCCGCGGCCUAUCAGCUUGUUGGUGGGGUGANGGCCUACCAAGGCGACGACGGGUAGCCGGCCUGAGAGGGCGACCGGCCACAC
rnacentral:rRNA from 1 species